rnacentral:lncRNA from 1 species
AAAAGAGGGGAUUUUUAAGAGGAAUAAAAAGAAACAUUGUGUGUUACUACAAACAACCUAAAAGAAAUCUGUGCAGAUGCAGGACCAUCACCUUUGCCAUGUGGUACUUUCUUAGCCUGUGCAUAUCUGAAAAACAUAAACAUGCUUAGCAGUAUGAGGUAAGAAUUAAUUGCACCAAUAAAAAUUCAUUGGGCCAAAUGGAAUUUCAACAGACUGAAAGAUUCUUAGAUGUUUUCUGGAAGGCUAAGUUGACUUAAGAAUGCGUAUGAAGAAAUAAUCUGUAAAAAAUACUACAGGCCAAUCGGCAUCUGGAAUCAUGAAAAUAUUAAUGAUUCUUCCCAAGCCAUAUAUUCUGGAAAAUUCCAACUAAUGAAUGCACAGCCACAUUAGCAAGCAGGAGACAUGAACAGUGGAUAGACACCAUUUUUCUCCUUUGAACAACUCAUGAACUGAAUGUGAGUUGAAAGUAAGAAAUACUAAGUGUGUUUUCUAAGGAAUUCCCACAUACUUUAAAUAAAGACUUCUGGAUCCACAAGACUUCAUUUUGUGACACAGGGGUUCACAGAUCAAACAGUUCAGAAAAGCUUCAAACUUCACUAAAAGCCUAGAAAGAUCAGAAAGGAUGAAGGGAGUUCACUGCCCAAUAUCUGCUCCUGAGGAUGGGAGUAGGAUAAUGCAUAUAUAGUCGAUUAACUAGGAGGGAUGGUGAGACAUAGAAGAAAUCAGAGUCUAGGCUAAAUAUCAGGGCAGCAUCUUGGCAAUGAAAGCUCCUGCCUUUGGAACACUCCCCUAAGGGAAACAGGAGAUGCUGCUGCUUCAUAAAAAGAAUUAAAUUGCCUAGAUAAAAGCACGAGCGUGCACUGAGUGAUCUCUUGCCCUUUAACUAGGACUUCGGACAUACAUAGUACUUCAAAAUUGUUUGUUUUAAUGCAGAAUCAUCUGAAUGCACAGUAAACCAAUGCUAAAGCCUGGCUAGAAUAGAUCGUCCUACAGAAUUUGAUAAUCUUGGAAUUAGGGGGGACCUUAAAAAAUGCACUUAUUUAUGAAAUACAGAUACUGCUUCCUAUGUACAGGCCAGGUACAAUUUUAAACAUGUUUUUAUAAAUAAUAAGUCAAUCACAGUUGGCAGGAUAAUGGAAUAGGAGGCCCCCUGCUCAUAUACCCACACAGCAAGAAGCAUUUGGCAGCCAUCCACUGAUAGAAGUGCCUCAGUGGGAGCUUUGGGAUCUAGGGAGCAGAUGUUAAAAUUCUGGUAUAGGCCAAAACCAAGGAGGCUCAUUUUAAUAGGGCAGGCCCACACUUGGGUGGCAAUUUUGCUGACUAUGGAGUAAGCCAUUGAUCAAAAAUGAACGCAUCCCCUGUGGACCCAGCUACAAUCCUGUUUCACCUUGGUCCUGCCACCAGAACCAUCCUCCAAGGAGGAGUCAUGCUCACCCAUGCCUAAAGUGACAGGUCCACCACCCACAGGCCUGGCAGCAGACGCUGAAGUACCCCUGUAACUCAGCUCUAGCCCCUCAUCUAGUCUGAGACCAAUCAUGCCUGCCCAGAGACCUGCUGGGAGACACACCCAUCUGUGCCCUGGGAAGUAGGCUUGCUACCCUCAGUCCCAUAGCAGACCCUGAAAAAGCUCUAACUUGGCUCUAGCCCCUAUAAACUGCAGUCUGAAUGCAGUCCUGCCCACCCAGGAACCUGCCAGGAGUCACACUGUAUGUACCCUGGGAAGCAGGCUUGCUGAACUCCAUCCCACAGCAGAUCCUACGACAGCUCAGAAAUUUGUCUCCAGUGCCCUUCAAUUGUGAUCCGUGAUCAGUUCUGCCUGUCCAGGAACCUGGCAGGAGAUACGCCCAUCUGUGCCUCCAGAGGCAGGUCUGAGACAUGAGGCUGGGCUGUAGACCCUGAAGCAGCCCUGUAACUCAGUUCUAGCUCCUCUUAUCUGCAGUCUGGGGCCAGUCUUGCCCACCCAGGGUCCCACCAAGUGACCCUUCCCAGGAACCAAGAAGAAGCCACACCUGUCUACAGACCUGGUAACAGGCCCAUUUUCUGCAGACCUUGAAGUGGACCCUUGUACCAGUACCAGCCCUACUGACCAAGAUCCUGGAAGUCCAGUCUGCCCAGGGACCAAACAAUAUUCACGCCAGCUCGAGCCCCUGGUAACAGGCCUGCCAACCACGAACUGUGAUCUGGAGGCAAUCCCAUCAGCCCUGGGACCCAACAAAAGCAGAAAACCAAUGCAUCCACAAAAUAAGAUAUUUAAUAAAUAAAUAGAAAUCAUAAAAAAGAACCAAACAGAAUGACAAAUUUAUUAUCUCACUUAUAAUGUAGAAUCUUGGAAAGUCAAACACAUAGCAUUGCCAGGGCCUGGGGGUGGGGGAUAUGGGGAGGUGUUGGUCAAAGGGUACAAACUUUCAGUUUGGGAAGCUAAUGUACAUCAUGGUGACUAUAGUAAAUAAUACUGUAUUGUUGACUUGAACUUUGCUAACAGAGUAACCUAAUGUUGCUUAAUGCAUACACACACAUACACACACACCGGUAACAAUGUGUGGUGAUGGAUGUGUUGAUUACUUUGAUUGUGAUGAUCAUUACCCAGUGCAUACAUACAUCAAAUCAUCAUGUCGUAUACCUUGAAUAUAUACAAUUUUUGUCAAUUACACCCUAAUAAAUCUGGGAAAAAACUCAAUCCCCAUAAGAACUCUAUGAGGUACAUGAUAUUAGUACCAGCACUUUACAAGUGGGAAGACUGAAGAACAAGAGUAUAAAUAACUUUGUCUUGGUAGCAUAGCUGCUUACUGGUGGAACAGAGACUUGACCCCAGGAAGUCUGGACCCAAAGUCUGCAUCCUAAACCUUGCAAAUGCAUUGCCUUUUAUCUUGGUAGGCAUUCAGUAUUGCUUUUUCUAGAUAGGAAAGACUGUAUUAGUACAUAUGAACAUCAUGCAUAACAUUUAUUCUAAAAAAGAAUUUGACUCACAAUCUUGAUUCUGGGAAUAUCUGAUUUUACUGAAAGAUUAUUUGCUAAUUACUCUUCCCAAAUCUUAUGAAUAGGAUGAAUGAAGCAGGCACAAUUUGAGGCGUUUUGUAUUUAAUACUAUUUUACUGCCUACCAUAUUUUCACCCAAUCUAAAUAUGCAAGGCCCAAAUCAGCAAAUUUUCCACAUCCAUUGUUCCCACUUCCAGUUAGUAUUGACAUUAUAUAUUACAUUUUUUUGUAUCUUCUAUAACCAAUCGAGUUCAUUCUCUCUUCUCCCCGUUCUUUCUGCUCCACUGAGGUUCAAAAGCCCAUUCCUGGUUUAUUGUAGAACCGCCCUAAGCAUUCUCUCCCUCUCCUAUCUGCCUGUUUUAGCCAUAGCAGAGAUUGCUGGUUAAGGAGACUUGGGAAGGUGUCGGCUCAGCAGUUUCCAGGCAUGGCAAGAAGUGUCCUGAGGCAGAGGCACAGUUAGAUGGACAGGGACCAAAAUGAGAUCACUCAUGGUGCUGAAGCAAAAGCAAGUCCAGGGUUUAGAUCAAGCAACAACAUUGUACAGUUGAACCCAAGGGCACAUGUAUCCUGAAGCUAAGUAACUCAAUCUUCAGAGUAUCUCAAUGGUACAGGUCUCUUUCCAAGUCUUGGGAGAGACUGUAGCAAAGGUCCCUAAAAUUAUAUAAGUGCAAAAAUCCAAAACCUAAAUCUUCUCAUUGAAGCUAUGGCUUUAAUCACACCUUCAAGGUGGAAUUUGGUUCAGCUAUUUAGAAAAUUGGAAACCAGAUAAAAUGCAUAUCUGGUGUCCUAAAGCCUGCCUCACUCCACCUUUGAGGAAAUCUUACUUUGUUUUAUAAAUUAUUGAAGCUAACCUGAGUUUGAGAUAGAUCUUAUUCUUUUCCUAAAAGCAUCCAGGAAUAAAAAUGAUUUGCCAGGAUUUUGAGUCCUAGCCUAGGGUCAGUGUGCAUGAGGGUCACUCAUAGCAUGGCAUGAGAACAACUGAAAGAUGCAUGGCCUGUUCAUCAGGACUGUCCAAGAGGUGGAAGUAACUGGGAGCGGACAAUGUAGUGAAUUUAAGCAACUCCUGUAAAGAGAAGAGGUCUGAUGAAAAGUGUGACUCCAGCCCUCAGCCAACAUUGUUUUGCUGGUGAAAUUCAGCUGAUAAGAAGGAUACUUUGAGGAGGAGAAAGAAUUAGCCAAGAGCACCCAGUAGCAUGACAGAGGAGUGUGGGAGAAAGGGAGAAGCUGUUCCCCUCCCUGUCACUUGGGGAGUUAAGAGGGUGAGGCAGUGAAUGGGAAGGUACAUCAGAUUUCCAAGAACAAAGGUUCUUGAGACUAUGCGGCAGCCUCAGAUCCUUCUUCCUCCCAGCUGCCCCAAGGAUUCAUUGCCAAGCCAGCAGCCACUCUGAGCUCCUGAGAAAAAAAGCAUCGCAGAACCUCAGAGCUGGCUGAGCUGCAUGGCUAGACAUUCAACAGUGCCAUGGUGAGCCACAAACCGAGAAGGUCAGGGUGGAGGAAGCACUUAGAAAAAUGGGAUUGAGAAUAUAGAAAAUGAACAAUGAAUAAAGCUCAGUCUUUGGGAGGUGAUCAGGGUGAAAAAGAUGGGAGUAAGAGUUUGUAUUAUGCUGUUCUUGCAUUGCUAUAAAGACAUACCUGAGACUGGGUAAUUUAUAAAGAAAAG